CUUGCAUCCUCCAGUCUCACCAAACCCACACCGCUUUCCCUCACCCGGCUCACUGAACCGUUGUGGUCUUCUCUUUGUUAUUUAAAUUGGUUUAUGAGACAAGACGCUUUAAUAUUUUUACGGACCAUGGAAGUAGAGUGUCGGCGUUAUUACGUCCGUCUUCUUCAAUCAUGCAGCAACAGAAAUCGCGAAACUUUAUGGAGACAAACCCAUGGAUUGUUCUUGAAGAAGGGUUUUAUCAGUUCAAUUGUCAUCGUAGCUAACCAUCUCCUCCAGAUAUACUCGCGGAGUGGCAAUAUGAGAACUGCACGGAACUUGUUCGACGAAAUGCCUGAGAGAAACUAUUUCUCCUGGAACACUAUGAUUGAAGGGUAUAUCAAUUCUGGGGAAAAGGGCACGUCUUUGAGGUUUUUUGAUACAAUGCCAGAAAGGGAUGGGUAUUCUUGGAACUUGGUUGUGUCCGGUUUUGCAAAGGCUGGGGAGCUAGGUGUUUCCAGGAGGUUGUUCAAUGCCAUGCCGGAGAAAGAUGCUGUGACUUUGAACUCUCUGCUUCAUGGCUAUAUUCUAAACGGUUAUGCAGAGGAAGCUCUGAGGCUGUUUAAAGAAUUGAAAUUUAGCGGUGAUGCGAUCAUAAUGACUACAGUUCUCAAGGCAUGUGCUAUGUUGGAAGCUUUGAAAAGUGGGAAGCAGAUACAUGCUCGGAUUAUGAUCGGUGGUGUUGAAUUUGACUCGAAGAUGAAUAGUUCUUUAGUUAAUUUGUAUGCAAAGUGUGGUGAGUGGAGAAUGGCGAGUGUUAUGAUGGAUCAGAUUGGGGAACCUGAUGACCAUUCUCUAUCUGCUUUAGUUUCAGGUUAUGCUAAUUGUGGGAGAGUGAAUGAGUCUAGAAGAGUUUUUGAUAGGAGAAGUAACAGAUGUGUAAUUCUAUGGAACUCUAUGAUUUCAGGUUAUGUUGCCAACAAUAUGAAAUUGGAGGCAUUGGUUCUUUAUAAUGAGAUGAGGAAUGAAACCAGGGAAGAUUCUCGUACGCUUGCAGCUGUUAUAAACGCUUGCAUUGGUUUGGGAUUCCUAGAGACUGGUAAACAAAUGCAUUGUCAUGCUUGUAAGUUUGGGUUAGUUAACGACGUUGUUGUAGCUAGUACUUUGCUUGACAUGUACUCCAAGUGUGGAAGCCCAAUGGAAGCUUGCAAACUUUUCAGUGAGGUUGAAACCUAUGACACAAUCUUACUUAAUAAUAUGAUCAAUGUAUAUUUCAGCUGCGGUAGAUUUGAUGAUGCAAAACGGGUUUUUGAGAGAAUUGAGAAUAAGAGUUUGAUUUCUUGGAACUCAAUGAUCAACGGGUUCAGUCAAAAUGGUUGUCCAGUUGAAACUUUGGAGUAUUUCCGCCGAAUGCAUAAGCUGGAUUUGCCUACAGAUGAGGUUAGCCUCUCCAGUGUCAUUAGUGCUUGCGCAAGCAUUUCUUCUCUCGAACUCGGUGAGCAGGUUUUUGCGAGGGCAACUAUUGUUGGUCUUGACCCUGAUCAAGUAGUAUCAUCCUCUCUAGUUGAUCUCUACUGCAAGUGUGGAUUCGUUGAGCAUGGCAGGAGAGUUUUUGACACUAUGGUGAAAUCAGAUGAAGUACCAUGGAACUCAAUGAUAUCAGGUUAUGCUACGAAUGGUCGUGGAUUUGAAGCGAUUGAUUUGUUCAAGAAAAUGAUUGUUGCUGGUAUAAAACCCACUCGGAUCACCUUUAUGGUUGUUCUAACAGCGUAUAAUUACUGUGGUUUAGUGGAAGAAGGAAGGAAAUUUUUUGAGGCAAUGAAGUUGGAUCACGGUUUUGUUCCAGAUAAAGAGCAUUUUUCAUGUAUGGUUGAUCUUUUGGCUCGUGCUGGUUAUGUGAAAGAAGCCUUAAAUCUUGUAGAAGAGAUGCCUUUCGAACCGGAUGCAAGCAUGUGGUCAUCUGUCUUAAGAGGAUGUGUAGCAAAUGGACAUAAAUCCAUGGGAAAGAAAGUUGCUGAGAAGAUUAUAGAGCUUGAACCUGUGAACUCAGUUGCUUAUGUGCAGUUGUCCGCCAUAUUUGCAACCUCUGGAGAUUGGGAAAGCUCGGGGCUUGUAAGAAAUUUGAUGAGAGAGAAGAAUGUGACAAAGAAUCCAGGUUCUAGUUGGGCUGAUUGUUGAAUACUCAGUUUGAGUGGUGUUAAUACCACCGAGAGAAGCAAAACGACAAGUCAAGUUUGAGUAAAAAGAAAUGGAGUGAGGAGUUUGAAACGAAAUAAACAAAACUUACUAUCACUUGAAGUUCGAUGAACUCUGAUCGCAUUGUGCACUACAUGGUCCAUACAUUGAGAUAUGAGAAAGAGUGCAACUUGAGCUAGAGAACAUUAGCGUGAUGGUGACUUUUUACAGGUUGAUAGAGAAAUCAAAGAUCUACAACUAGACGUUUCCACUAGCAAACUACAUAGCACCAUUGAUUCUUUUGCUGAGCUAGAGACGCAUGGUUUCACCGUGAAACUUUCACUUUACACCACCUCAAUCAUAAAUCACGGUUUGGAGUUUGAAGAUGAAGUGGUU